rnacentral:lncRNA from 1 species
UCCCCUCUAAGAAAAGAAUGGAAGAUUUUUGUUUGUGUUCGUUUGAUCGAAGAAUCUCUUCUUGAUAAUGCCUUUGUUAAGGAUCUUGUUGCGCAUGAGCUCGCAUAAGAAGCCUCGAUUCUUCACUGAUUACACGAUUCGAAGAUCGGAGUGAGUACGGGAGCAGAUUGAGUGCAUUCGAAGUCUCCCGAUCUCUAUGCUCCACAUAAGUUGCUAGAUCAGAUCAGCUCUGUUGGUUUUCGAGCUUUACGCCAUCUUCCAUCUCCGCACAUUUCAACGAGACACCAUCGUCCAGUCCCACUGCAACGAUAUCACACUGCUGAAAUUCUGAUUGCAAAAUGACAGAGAGAAAGCCGAACAACACUAAAAAGCUUCAUAAAACACACCUGGCGUCAUGAAAUUUCUCCGACUCUAAAAACUCGUCCAGAGGAUCUGACAUAUUCAAACUCAAAUCCUGACUCAAAUUUCGAUCAAAAAUAGCCGAAUCAAAAACUGCAACUCGAUUACAAAACAUAUUCGAAUUCGGCAGAAGAAGGCAUGGCAAUUGGCGAAGCAUGUUAACGAACCUUUUCCGAGCAUUGACAAGUAAGUUACUUCCACUAGGCGUUUCCUUGAAAUCAAACAGAACUCUUCGCCUGGAAUCUUCCAUCGUCUCCAGCUGCGGAGCUGCUUACAUCCCGAAAAUGAGAAAACACGAUGUAUCAGAAAGCUUGAUCAUACAUGAAAAAACAAGAGAGAGAUUACUAAGGAAUUCGCACUUAUGUGACAGUACACUCCGUGAUCCGAAGACGACGGCGAUUCAAUCUUAACGGCGGCGAAGACGGAGGAGAAAAGAAGAGAUCAAGAGUAAAUAAUCAAAUUAGCCAUGGUUGCGUUUG